rnacentral:rRNA from 1 species
CCUACGGGGGGCAGCAGUGGGGAAUAUUGGGCAAUGGGCGCAAGCCUGACCCAGCAACGCCGCGUGAAGGAAGAAGGCUUUCGGGUUGUAAACUUCUUUUGUCAGGGAAGAGUAGAAGACGGUACCUGACGAAUAAGCCACGGCUAACUACGUGCCAGCAGCCGCGGUAAUACGUAGGUGGCAAGCGUUGUCCGGAUUUACUGGGUGUAAAGGGCGUGUAGCCGGGUUGACAAGUCAGAUGUGAAAUCCUGCGGCUUAACCGCAGAACUGCAUUUGAAACUGUUGAUCUUGAGUACUGGAGAGGCAGACGGAAUUCCUAGUGUAGCGGUGAAAUGCGGAGAUAUUAGGAGGAACACCAGUGGCGAAGGCGGUCUGCUGGACAGCAACUGAAGGUGAGGCGCGAAAGCGUGGGGAGCAAACAGGAUUAGAUACCCCAGUAGUC